rnacentral:rRNA from 1 species
UACAGAGGGGGCAAGCGUUGUUCGGAAUUACUGGGCGUAAAGCGUGCGUAGACGGUUACAUAAGUCGGGUGUGAAAGCCCCGGGCUCAACCUGGGAAUUGCAUUCGAGACUGCGUAGCUAGGGUGCGGAAGAGGGAAGCGGAAUUUCCGGUGUAGCGGUGAAAUGCGUAGAUAUCGGAAGGAACACCAGUGGCGAAGGCGGCUUCCUGGUCCAGCACCGACGUUCAGGCACGAAAGCGUGGGGAGCAAACAGG